CAGUGAUUUAAUUGUUUAAAAUAAAUUUGAUUUUAGUUUAGGAAAUCUUCUUUUUGAUGAUAAAACAUGUACAAAUUUAAUUCUUAAGGGUUUAAUUGUUGCAGUUUUUUAUUUUAAUUUUUAAAUAAUUUUAGAUUUAGUUAAUUAAAUGUAGUCUUGACAAAAAUUGUGCCAGCAGUUGCGGUUAUACAAUUGAGGCAAGAAUUUUUUUUUGGUUAUUAUUUAGUUUUGGAUGGGAAGUGAUUAUGUAAAUAAUAAUUUUUAGGUGAAAUUAGAAUUUGUUAUUAAAUAUUUUAGAUGUGAAUAUGAGGGGUUGUAGUAUGACUAGGAUUAGAUACCCUAUUAUUAUUGCUUGUAAAUUUAUGACCUUAGAAUUAUUAGUUAUGUUCUUUAAAUUAAAAAAAUUUGGCGGUAAUUUAGUCCUUUUAGAGGAACCUGUCCUGUAAUUGAUGAUCCACGUUUUAUUUUACUUUAUUUUAACUUGUAUAUCUCUGUCAUUGAAUAUUUUAUUAGAAUUAUUCGUUAAUCAUUAAGUGAUUAAUGUCAGGUCAAGGUGCAGUUGUAAUAAAGAAGAGAUGGGUUACAAUUAAUUAUUAUUAAUGGAUAAUAUAAUGUAAUUUUAUUUGUGAAAUUGGAUUUAAUUGUAAUAGUAAUUUAUUAAUUAUUAUGAUUAUGGCUCUAAAUUAUGUACAUAUCGCCCGUCACUCUCAUUGCUAAUUAAGAUGAGAUAAGUCGUAACAAAGUAGACCUACCGGAAGGCAGGUCUAGAUUAAUUAAU
rnacentral:ncRNA from 1 species